rnacentral:rRNA from 1 species
UUGGCUCAGAACGAACGCUGGCGGCAGGCUUAACACAUGCAAGUCGAGCGGGGGAAGGUAGCUUGCUACCGGACCUAGCGGCGGACGGGUGAGUAAUGCUUAGGAAUCUGCCUAUUAGUGGGGGACAACAUCUCGAAAGGGAUGCUAAUACCGCAUACGUCCUACGGGAGAAAGCAGGGGAUCUUCGGACCUUGCGCUAAUAGAUGAGCCUAAGUCGGAUUAGCUAGUUGGUGGGGUAAAGGCCUACCAAGGCGACGAUCUGUAGCGGGUCUGAGAGGAUGAUCCGCCACACUGGGACUGAGACAC